ACGUGUCUCAUAGUUUAACGUCCACGCGCGUCAUAGUUUAACGUCCACGUGCGUUGUAGUUUAACGUCCACGUGCGUCAUAGUUUAACGUUCAUGUGCGUUGUAGUUCAACGUCUAGGUGCGUUGUAGUUUAACGUCCACGUGCGUCAUAGUUUUGUACAAAAGCAACCUAAUUGGAGUUACCUAUUAAGAACAUGCAGACUAAGUGAUGACCAACCAUUUUUUAUCUAUAAUAACUUUCAGUAUCUUGAAUACAGGUAUUAAUUUUGAAUAAUACUGAUUAUUUCAUAUGUUUCGCUAUAGUGUCAAAUAUCGGUAUCGGUAAAAGCUAAAAAUAUUGGUAUCGGUAUCGGU